GUAGGUGAACCUGCGGAGGGAUCAUUACAGAGACUCUGCCCUUUGGGUAGACCUCCCACCCUGUGUCGUUAUACCUUUGUUGCUUUGGCGGGCCGCGGGGCUUAGGCCCUGCCCCUGGCUCCGGCUAGGGCGCGCCCGCCAGAGGACCUCAAAACCUGAAUGUUAGUGUCGUCUGAGUACUAUAUAAUAGUUAAAACUUUCAACAACGGAUCUCUUGGUUCUG
rnacentral:misc_RNA from 1 species